rnacentral:rRNA from 1 species
GACGAACGCUGGCGGCGUGCUUAACACAUGCAAGUCGAACGGUGAAGCGCCUUCCUUUUUGGUGGGUGUGGAUGAGCGGCGAACGGGUGAGUAACACGUGAGUAACCUGCCCCCUUCUUCUGGAUAACCGCAUGAAAGUGUGGCUAAUACGGGAUAUUCUGGGUCUGUCGCAUGAUGGGUCUGGGAAAGAUAUUGUUUCGGUGGGGGAUGGGCUCGCGGCCUAUCAGCUUGUUGGUGGGGUGAUGGCCUACCAAGGCGGUGACGGGUAGCCGGCCUGAGAGGGUGGACGGUCACACUGGGACUGAGACACGGCCCAGACUCCUACGGGAGGCAGCAGUGGGGAAUAUUGCACAAUGGGCGCAAGCCUGAUGCAGCGACGCCGCGUGAGGGAUGGAGGCCUUCGGGUUGUGAACCUCUUUCGCCAGUGAAGCAGGCCUGCCUCGUUUGUGGGUGGGUUGACGGUAGCUGGAUAAGAAGCGCCGGCUAACUACGU